ACACACACACACACACACAUCAGUAAAUAUGCCAAUAGUAUUUUAUUUUUGCCAGCUUUGGAGACUUUAGCGCUGCAUCAUUCUUAAACCUUUACAUGACUGUUAAGAUACACAAAGAUGUGGACACAGGUAAGAAACUUACUCAGCUGCAAAACCAUUAAAUAAAUGAUCAACAAUGUCGUUUAAAAGCAAGUGUAAUGGAACACACACGUACUGUGUUUAUCUGCUCUUUCCAUGUGUGUCUUCAGGUGACUCAUGCCUCUUUUUAAAGGCUUGCAAAGGUUGAACAAGAGCACUGCUCAUUUACGCAAACAAAGCCAAGUGAAAGAGUGUCUGGCUGUUGGUGAACAGUGUGGGCCCUCAACCACGAGAGACGCUGAGAAAGAGAGACCGAGUAUAGCUGUUGAUCAUCGUGGCACUCGUUACAGUGUUUACAAGGUAUUAUGGGAUGUUUCAAGCUGUUGGAAAUAAAAAAAAAUAUAAAAGGGGGAAAAAGAAG